UCUCCCAUUGGUGGUUGGCGCUAUAUUGUAUGCGCAGAAAGGUGAACAAAUGCAAGGGUUCUGCGCAAGCACAGCUGAUGCAAUAUUUUUUUGUUUUUUAACAAAUGUUACUCCAAUAUAAUCAACUAUCCAACUGUAUAUUUUAAUUAUUUAUUAUUCAAAAAAAAAAAAAAACACGCACAUCAUAUCUAAUGUCAUAAAGAAUAAAAUCUCCAUCAAUGACACUUGUUAUAAUUGGUAAACAAUGGGUAAGAGCGUAAUUACAUUAAAUAAAAGUUUUAUAAUGAAAUUAAUAAAUAACAAAGAGAUUUGAAGGACUGUAGGGGCGUAAUGACCUUGUGAUGAACAUCAAGAUUUCACCCACAAUAAAAAUAUAUUUACUAUCGAUGACGACAUAUUUUAAAAAAUCUAUAUUUAAAAAAAAAAUUUCACAAAUAUGAUCAAAGCAAUUAUUGUCGGGUACAAAAGAUAAUAAAUUAAUAUUUUUCCAAGGUAAAUUUAUAUCAUUAUAAUAUUGACCACAAUUUUUAACAAUUAAUUCCAGUCAUAAGAAAUGUAUUUCUUCAGAAGAAAGUUCGACCUUGAAAUACAUGAAAAAUGUACCUGCAUUUUAUUGUGUAAGAAAAAUAAAUGUUCAAAAAAAUUUAUAGCCUUGCAAUUAUGUAUAUUAUUGCGAAGCAAAUUUAAGAAUUCUAUGAAUUGAAUUUUUGGCAUCAAAGUUAUAGACAUUGUAGUAUAAGUAACAUAGAAAUUAUACUACACUCAAAGGCGUCGAAAGCAAGCCGAUUAAAUGUAUGAUGAAAGGAUUUCAUUAUGUUUCUUUGUUUGAUAAAAUCAGCUUAAAAUAGCUCCUUGUUUUGAUCUUACUCGACAUAAUAAAUGAGUCAUAGUAAACAAAUUUAAAUAGAUCUACUAAUCCUUCAAUACAUGAAAGUAUUUGCUAUUGUUUACAUUAAUGGAACCAUUAGUAUCUCGAUUAUUGACAUUUUUAACGAAUAGAAAAGAGGGGGUAAGUCUUUGUUACGAAACACAAACACUUGCUGAUAAUCUGGGUUAAUAAUUAAAAUACACCAAAAUUCGUACAUUAAUCUGGUGAAAUAAUUGAUGAAGAAAAAAAUAGAGGAAUUAAAUUAAUUAAUUAAAUUAAUUACGUUGUAUUUACGAUGAUACGGUUGAUAAAUAUCAAGCGGUUUAAAUAGCCGUAAGAAGUUUGUUUUGCAAAAGUUGUUUAGAACACAAUGAUUUUGAUGGUUAUUUAUAAUUUACUCACCCGGAUGCGUC